GGGUAAAUUUUGAUAUCUAGACUACUUUUUAGGUGAUGUUGUAGUUCCUUACAUUGGCUUUGAACAUUCAUGUUUGUUUGCCACCUCUCUUCUUUUCAUGCGUUUUCCACAGCAGUACCAAUCUAUCCUUUCCACUUACUCUGACUUAUUUUAAAAUUUACACUAAACAGUUAGUGUAAAUUCUUUGACAUGGUAGUGUAAGUAGAGUUUAACCUAGGAUUUUGUGAUGAAUUUUGUUCUAGAGUUUUGCUAAGCCUUGAUUGUUUUUGCAGCUCUUCGGAUUGGGCAUUGCUUACUUCAGUUCAUUCUAGUAGUGGACAGUGCAGGUUGACUACUACAAGGUUAGAAGUGGUUUAUUUUCUAGGGAUGAUGGAAAGGAAGGACCUGGUAUUGCUACUUUGGUUUAAGCAUAGUUAAAUAAUGAUUUCUCUGUAACCAUUAAUAACAUUCAUAGUACGUGUUGUCAUUGCAAGCUGUAUAAAUUGCUUCAUUUUGUCAAAUAUUAUUCAUAGUAUUUUAAUCA